CGCGUAGGCGGCCUCUCAAGCGGGAUCUCUAAUCCGAGGGCUCAACCCCCGGCCGGAUCCCGAACUGGGAGGCUCGAGUUCGGUAGAGGCAGGCGGAAUUCCCGGUGUAGCGGUGGAAUGCGCAGAUAUCGGGAAGAACACCGAUGGCGAAGGCAGCCUGCUGGGCCGCAACUGACGCUGAGGCGCGAAAGCUAGGGGAGCGAACA
rnacentral:rRNA from 1 species